GACAUACACCGGUAACGCCCAGAGAUGGGUGCCCCUUUGUGGUCGGUGGACAGGUGGUGCAUGGUUGUCGUCAGCUCGUGUCGUGAGAUGUUGGGUUAAGUCCCGCAACGAGCGCAACCCUCGUCCUAUGUUGCCAGCGGGUCAUGCCGGGGACUCAUGGGAGACUGCCGGGGUCAACUCGGAGGAAGGUGGGGAUGACGUCAAAUCAUCAUGCCCCUUAUGUCUUGGGCUUCACGCAUGCUACAAUGGCCGGUACAAAGGGCUGCGAUACCGCGAGGUGGAGCGAAUCCCAGAAAGCCGGUCUCAGUUCGGAUUGCAGGCUGCAACUCGCCUGCAUGAAGUUGGAGUUGCUAGUAAUCGCGAAUCAGAACGUCGCGGUGAAUGCGUUCCCGGGUCUU
rnacentral:rRNA from 1 species